rnacentral:rRNA from 1 species
GAGUUUGAUCCUGGCUCAGAACGAACGCUGGCGGCGUGGAUAAGACAUGCAAGUCGAACGGGAUAUCAUUUGUAGCAUACAAGUGAUGUCUAGUGGCGUAAGGGUGCGUAACACGUGGGGAAUCUGCCGAGAAGUGGGGGAUAGCUCGCCGAAAGGCGAAUUAAUACCGCAUGUGGUUAGUGAAGACAUCUUCACGAUACCAAAGCCGGGGCAACCUGGCGCUUCUUGAUGACCCCGCGGCCUAUCAGCUAGUUGGUGAGGUAACGGCUCACCAAGGCUAUGACGGGUAGCUGGUCUGAGAGGACGACCAGCCACACUGGAACUGAGACACGGUCCAGACACCUACGGGUGGCAGCAGUCGAGAAUUUUUCUCAAUGGGGGAAACCCUGAAGGAGCGACGCCGCGUGGAGGAUGAAGGUCUUCGGAUUGUAAACUCCUGUCAUUUGGGAACAAUUGUUGGCGAUUAACUGUCGUCAGCUUGAUAGUACCAGAAGAGGAAGAGACGGCUAACUCUGUGCCAGCAGCCGCGGUAAUACAGAGGUCUCAAGCGUUGUUCGGAUUCAUUGGGCGUAAAGGGUGCGUAGGUGGCGAGGUAAGUCUGGUGUGAAAUCUCGGAGCUCAACUCCGAAACUGCACUGGAUACUGCUUUGCUCGAGUACUGGAGAGGAGAUUGGAAUUUACGGUGUAGCAGUGAAAUGCGUAGAUAUCGUAAGGAAGACCAGUGGCGAAGGCGAAUCUCUGGACAGUUACUGACACUGAGGCACGAAGGCCAGGGGAGCAAACGGGAUUAGAUACCCCGGUAGUCCUGGCAGUAAACGGUGCGCGUUUGGUGUGGGAGGAUUCGACCCCUUCUGUGCCGGAGCUAACGCGUUAAACGCGCCGCCUGGGGAGUACGGUCGCAAGAUUAAAACUCAAAGAAAUUGACG